rnacentral:pre_miRNA from 1 species
AAAGAGUGCAGUUUUAUAUUGUUAUAUUCUACGUUUGACCGUUCGUUUUAUUUUAAAAAAAUUAUUAUUAUUAUAGAUGAUAAAGCAUAAAUAGUAUUUUAUUUGUGACUAAUUUUUUAAUUUUUUUUAUAAAAUUUUAAAAUAAGACGAACGGUUAAAUAUUAGAUACGAAAAUCUACGAUUGCAUUUAAA